GCUGUGAAGAAAAUUGUGGACUUGAUCAACACCAAAAUGAAAAGUUCAUUCAAUUCCUCUAAGAAGUACUGAGCUU